rnacentral:snRNA from 1 species
GUGAGGGCAAUAUCGCUUCAACACCUGUCACCUCAUUGAUCAACAGGGUUGAUGCGGCUGAUCUGGCUGGCUAGGUGGGUGUCCCCUUCCUCCCUCACUUAUCUCUCCCGAAGUUGUGAGCUUGGAGGAAGAGGAUAACCUUUGACCUUCCAGAAUAGAGGAGGACCAGUCUUGGGUCUAGUGUCUACAGAGUAUUUGCACUCUCCUCCUCGAACAAACUCUAUUGGCAUUUGUUUUUAAGUUAAGGAAAAGCCAUUUAAACCCACCUGUGCAGACCAAGUCUUGCUAGACAGUUCUU